GAUCCUGGCUCAGGAUGAACGCUGGCGGCGUGCCUAAUACAUGCAAGUAGAACGCUGAAGCUUGGUGUUUGCACCGAGCGGAUGAGUUGCGAACGGGUGAGUAACGCGUAGGUAACCUGCCUGGUAGCGGGGGAUAACUAUUGGAAACGAUAGCUAAUACCGCAUAACAGUCGACAUUGCAUGAUGUUGAUUUGAAAGGUGAA
rnacentral:rRNA from 1 species